rfam:Citrus sinensis cultivar Ridge Pineapple sweet orange scaffold00321_contig_10, whole genome shotgun sequence.
AAGAUAAGAGCUGGUCAGUUUAGCAAGGAUGCUUGCCCAAGCAUAUACCACAAGAGGGAUCUUAGCUAGUUAAGUAGAAACCCACUUGUGUGUGUGUGUGCAUACAUGCAUUCACUUCCAAAACCCCAAAAAUGGUUGAUAUAGGCAAGUCAUCCUUGGCUAGAAAACUAGCUCUUCAUCU